GGGAGAUGGCAGCACAACUUGAAGGUCGUUCUUUCCUCUGCCCCGCUGGUUGGGUCAGACACACGGAUGGCUGUUAUCUAUACGUGACCUCUGGUAGAUCCUGGACCAGCGCAGAGUUGCCCUAUAAGAGGCCGUUGUAAAG